UACGGGGGGGGCAAGCGUUGUUCGGAAUUACUGGGCGUAAAGGGCUCGUAGGUGGCCAACUAAGUCAGACGUGAAAUCCCUCGGCUCAACCGGGGAACUGCGUCUGAUACUGGAUGGCUUGAGUUCGGGUGAGGGAUGCGGAAUUCCAGGUGUAGCGGUGAAAUGCGUAGAUAUCUGGAGGAACACCGGUGGCGAAGGCGGCAUCCUGGACCGACACUGACGCUGAGGAGCGAAAGCCAGGGGAGCAAACGGG
rnacentral:rRNA from 1 species